UACGUAGGUGGCAAGCGUUGUCCGGAUUUACUGGGCGUAAAGAGCGCGCAGGCGGUCGUCCAAGUCGCGUGUGAAAGCCCCCGGCUCAACUGGGGAGGGUCAUUCGAUACUGAUCGACUCGAAGGCAGGAGAGGGUAGUGGAAUUCCCGGUGUAGUGGUGAAAUGCGCAGAUAUCAGGAAGAACACCAAUGGCGAAGGCAGCUCUCUGGGACGGUACUGACGCUGAGACGCGAAAGCGUGGGGAGCGAACAGG
rnacentral:rRNA from 1 species